GGAUGUGGGGGCGAUCUGGCUGCGACACCUGUCACCCCAUUAACCACCAGGGUUGAUUCGGCUCGUCUGGCUGGCUGGGCGGGUGUCCCCUUCCUCCUUCAGUGCCCAUGCGCCUCCCUCCUGAAGCUGCUCUCGGGGGAAGAGGACGACCUUCCCCGAAUAGAGACAGACCCGUCUUGGGUCCCCUGCAAGACCCACGCAACAAGCUCUCAAGAAAACGUGUGUAUGUGACAUGGUGUCUGUUUGUAUGG
rnacentral:snRNA from 1 species